rnacentral:rRNA from 1 species
AUUGAACGCUGGCGGCAGGCCUAACACAUGCAAGUCGAGCGGAUGAAGGGAGCUUGCUCCUGGAUUCAGCGGCGGACGGGUGAGUAAUGCCUAGGAAUCUGCCUGGUAGUGGGGGAUAACGUCCGCAAACGGGCGCUAAUACCGCAUACGUCCUGAGGGAGAAAGUGGGGGAUCUUCGGACCUCACGCUAUCAGAUGAGCCUAGGUCGGAUUAGCUAGUUGGUGGGGUAAAGGCCUACCAAGGCGACGAUCCGUAACUGGUCUGAGAGGAUGAUCAGUCACACUGGAACUGAGACACGGUCCAGACUCCUACGGGAGGCAGCAGUGGGGAAUAUUGGACAAUGGGCGAAAGCCUGAUCCAGCCAUGCCGCGUGUGUGAAGAAGGUCUUCGGAUUGUAAAGCACUUUAAGUUGGGAGGAAGGGCAGUAAGUUAAUACCUUGCUGUUUUGACGUUACCAACAGAAUAAGCACCGGCUAACUUCGU